GAGAGUCCUGGGUUCUCAACCCUCCUGGCCAAAUAUAACAAGAUCAACCCCAGUACACACAUGUGAACCCUAGAGUUGGGCUUAUGUCUUGGCAGCUUCUCCCUGGGUGUUCCAGAGGUGGGACUCCUCUUCUCCCAGCUACCAAGACCCUGCUUUCUGCUUGCCCGGGAAGCUUUCAAUGGGCUUCAUAACAGUUAUGGCUUCACCUUGGCUUCCACAUUUCUUCCGUGACUAAGUGUGUAAUGAGUCGUUCCACAACACACAUUCCAGAAAUGUAUCGAAAAUACAAUGUGCUAAACCACAGUGCACCUAGUUUCCUUAUGUGAGUGGCACCAAAAAAGAACAAAAAAACAAAAACAAAACAAAACAAAAACCAAGAGUUAUACAAGCAACGAGUGUCUGCUUCAGCCUUCUCCCCGCUCUGCCCUCAGCAGCCAGCAUCAACUGUUAGGAUGAAAACAGCAAAGACCUUUUUCUUUUUUCUUUUUCUUUUCUUUUUUUUAAAUUUUUUAUUAUCUAGGGUUUUCUUUGAAAGGAAAGAACAAAGGACUGAGGGAAGGAGAAGCGACAGGUGACAGAGGAAAUGAAGAAUAAAAUUUUUUUUCUAUAAGCAAUAAAUUUGGUGUAAAGAUCCA